AUUGAACGCUGGCGGCAGGCCUAACACAUGCAAGUCGAACGGUAGCACAGAGAGCUUGCUCUCGGGUGACGAGUGGCGGACGGGUGAGUAAUGUCUGGGAAACUGCCCGAUGGAGGGGGAUAACUACUGGAAACGGUAGCUAAUACCGCAUAACGUCGCAAGACCAAAGUGGGGGACCUUCGGGCCUCACACCAUCGGAUGUGCCCAGUUGGGAUUAGCUAGUAGGUGGGGUAAUGGCUCACCUAGGCGACGAGCCCUAGCUGGUCUGAGAGGAUGAUCAGCCACACUGGAACUGAGACACCGUCCAGACUCCUACGUGAGGCAGCAGUGGGGUAUAUUGCACAAUGGGCGCAAGCCUGAUGCAGCCAUGCCGCGUGUAUGAAGAAGGCCUUCGGGUUGUAAAGUACUUUCAGCGGGGAGGAAGGCGGUGGAGUUAAUAACUUCACCGAUUGACGUUACCCGCAGAAGAAGCACCGGCUAACUCCGUGCCAGCCGCCGCGGUAA
rnacentral:rRNA from 1 species